rnacentral:rRNA from 1 species
UGGGGAAUAUUGGACAAUGGGGGCAACCCUGAUCCAGCAAUGCCGCGUGUGUGAAGAAGGCCUUCGGGUUGUAAAGCACUUUCGGUGGGGACAAACAAGGCGGAGCUAACAUCUCCGUCCCUGAUGGUACCCAAAGAAGAAGCACCGGCUAACUCUGUGCCAGCAGCCGCGGUAAUACAGAGGGUGCAAGCGUUAAUCGGAAUUACUGGGCGUAAAGCGUGCGUAGGUGGUUUGUUAAGUCAGGUGUGAAAUCCCGGGGCUCAACCUCGAAAUGGCGCUUGAUACUGGCAGACUCGAGUGUGGUAGAGGAUAGUGGAAUUCCCGGUGUAGCGGUGAAAUGCGUGGAUAUCGGGAGGAACACCUGUGGCGAAGGCGGCCCCCUGGUUGGAUACUGACGCUGAGACGCGAAAGCGUGGGGAGCAAACAGGAUUAGAUACCCUGGUAGUCCACGCUGUAAACGAUGGGCACUAGGUGUCCGGGGUAUUGACCCCCUGGGUGCCGCAGCUAACGCAUUAAGUGCCCCGCCUGGGGAGUACGGUCGCAAGAUUA